rnacentral:rRNA from 1 species
GGGGAAUUUUGGACAAUGGGCGCAAGCCUGAUCCAGCAAUGCCGCGUGCAGGAUGAAGGCCUUCGGGUUGUAAACUGCUUUUGUACGGAACGAAAAGCCUCUCUCUAAUACAGGGGGGUGAUGACGGUACCGUAAGCAUAAGCACCGGCUAACUACGUGCCAGCAGCCGCGGUAAUACGUAGGGUGCGAGCGUUAAUCGGAAUUACUGGGCGUAAAGCGUGCGCAGGCGGUUGUGUAAGACAGGUGUGAAAUCCCCGGGCUUAACCUGGGAACUGCGCUUGUGACUGCACGGCUAGAGUACGGCAGAGGGGGGUGGAAUUCCUGGUGUAGCAGUGAAAUGCGUAGAUAUCAGGAGGAACACCGAUGGCGAAGGCAGUCCCCUGGGCCUGUACUGACGCUCAUGAACGAAAGCGUGGGGAGCAAACA